rnacentral:rRNA from 1 species
AGCGUAGACGGUGUGGCAAGUCUGAUGUGAAAGGCAUGGGCUCAACCUGUGGACUGCAUUGGAAACUGUCAUACUUGAGUGCCGGAGGGGUAAGCGGAAUUCCUAGUGUAGCGGUGAAAUGCGUAGAUAUUAGGAGGAACACCAGUGGCGAAGGCGGCUUACUGGACGGUAACUGACGUUGAGGCUCGAAAGCGCGGGGAGCAAACA